rnacentral:rRNA from 1 species
GAUGAACGCUGGCGGCGUGCUUAACACAUGCAAGUCGAACGGUGAAGCAGGAGCUUGCUCUUGUGGAUCAGUGGCGAACGGGUGAGUAACACGUGAGCAACCUGCCCCUGACUCUGGGAUAAGCGCUGGAAACGGCGUCUAAUACUGGAUAUGUGAUGUGACCGCAUGGUCUGCAUCUGGAAAGAAUUUCGGUUGGGGAUGGGCUCGCGGCCUAUCAGGUUGUUGGUGAGGUAGUGGCUCACCAAGGCGUCGACGGGUAGCCGGCCUGAGAGGGUGACCGGCCACACUGGGACUGAGACACGGCCCAGACUCCUACGGGAGGCAGCAGUGGGGAAUAUUGCACAAUGGGCGGAAGCCUGAUGCAGCAACGCCGCGUGAGGGAUGACGGCCUUCGGGUUGUAAACCUCUUUUAGCAGGGAAGAAGCGAAAGUGACGGUACCUGCAGAAAAAGCACCGGCUAACUACGUGCCAGCCGCCGCCGUAA